rnacentral:rRNA from 1 species
AGAGUUUGAUCAUGGCUCAGAACGAACGCUGGCGGCAGGCCUAACACAUGCAAGUCGAACGAACUCUUCGGAGUGAGUGGCGCACGGGUGCGUAACACGUGGGAGAACCUAUCUUUCGGUUCGGAAAAACGGAGGGAAACUUCCGCUAAUACCGCAUAAGCCCCUAGGGGGAAAGAUUUAUCGCCGAAGGAUGGACCCGCGUCUGAUUAGCUAGUUGGUGAGGUAAUGGCUCACCAAGGCGACGAUCAGUAGCUGGUUUGAGAGGAUGAUCAGCCACACUGGAACUGAGACACGGUCCAGACUCCUACGGGAGGCAGCAGUGGGGAAUAUUGGACAAUGGGGGAAACCCUGAUCCAGCCAUGCCGCGUGAGUGAAGAAGGCCUUAGGGUUGUAAAACUCUUUCACCAGGGAAGAUGAUGACGGUAGCGGGAGAAGAAGCCCCGGCUAACUCCGUGCCAGCAGCCGCGGUAAUACGGAGGGGGCGAGCGUUGUUCGGAAUUACUGGGCGUAAAGGGCGCGUAGGCGGGCUGACAAGUCAGGGGUGAAAGUCCUGGGCUCAACCUGGGGACUGCCUUUGAAACUGUUAGUCUAGAGUCCGGGAGAGGAUGGCGGAAUUCCCAGUGUAGAGGUGAAAUUCGUAGAUAUUGGGAAGAACACCGGUGGCGAAGGCGGCCAUCUGGACCGGCACUGACGCUGAGGCGCGAAAGCGUGGGGAGCAAACAGGAUUAGAUACCCUGGUAGUCCACGCCGUAAACGAUGUGUGCUAGCCGUUGGGGCCCUUAGGGUUCAGUGGCGCAGCUAACGCGAUAAGUAGACCGCCUGGGGAGUACGGCCGCAAGGUUAAAACUCAAAUGAAUUGACGGGGGCCCGCACAAGCGGUGGAGCAUGUGGUUUAAUUCGAUGCAACGCGCAGAACCUUACCAGCCCUUGACAUACCAAUCGCGAUUUCCGGAGACGGAUUUCUUCAGUUCGGCUGGAUUGGAUACAGGUGCUGCAUGGCUGUCGUCAGCUCGUGUCGUGAGAUGUUGGGUUAAGUCCCGCAACGAGCGCAACCCUCACCUCUAGUUGCCAUCGGGUUGCCGGGCACUUUAGAGGAACUGCCGGUGAUAAGCCGGAGGAAGGUGGGGAUGACGUCAAGUCCUCAUGGCCCUUACGGGCUGGGCUACACACGUGCUACAAUGGCGGUGACAAUGGGUUGCAACCUCGCGAGGGGGAGCUAAUCUCUAAAAACCGUCUCAGUUCGGAUUGUAUUCUGCAACUCGAAUACAUGAAGUUGGAAUCGCUAGUAAUCGUGGAUCAGCAUGCCACGGUGAAUACGUUCCCGGGCCUUGUACACACCGCCCGUCACACCAUGGGAGUUGGUUUUACCCGAAGGCAGUGCGCUAACCGAUCGGAGGCAGCCGACCACGGUAGGAUUAGCGACUGGGGUGAAGUCGUAACAAGGUAUCCGUA